rnacentral:lncRNA from 1 species
GCCUACUCACAUCCCUGGGUUUCAGUCCUGCCCCACAAGCGAGCAGCUGACACAGGAUACGGUGGGUAAGGAAGGCUAACACCUCAGGGUGGAAUUAGCUGUCACUUCUAAAGGAUGAAAGCGUGAUUGGCAAGCGUGAAUGCCUCAGCUAUCAGCCUACAUCGGGAUCUGAGAAGGAUGGACUUGGGGUAGCCUGAGUGUGAAGAUGGAGAUUCAGCCUGGUGUGGAAGGAAGCUGAGGACACCUCCACAUGCCUUUGUUCUCCUAGGAGAGGGUUUAAGCUUGUGAUCCUGGACGAAGCUGACGCCAUGACUCAAGAUGCCCAGAAUGCCUUGAGACGAG